UUUACACAGCCAGGAUCCAUCUUGCAGAUUGACCUGACAUCCCUGGCAACUGUAUCAUUAUCAUUAAUAGAGGACCUUAGCUCCUCUUUUGAUGCAGAAAGAUCGACAGAUAGUUUUCCUUCACAAGGUAAAGAUCCAUUAGACCUCAUGCGUAGAAGUUCAUCCUAUUGACAAGAAGAUAUGUGAGCAAUUUGAAAUCUAAAACUUGAUGAUGCCAAAAGGAUAAAAUGAGUAUCAUAGAAGUACCACCUUUAGUUGGCGUAUCUGCUCACGCAGGACAUUAACAUCAUCCUGUGUUAUCUCAUUGACAACUGCUUUGUUCUUUAUUGCUUUUGCUCGUUGUGCAAACCUUAAGGUGCUGAAAGUUUCACUUUUGCAGCUGCA